GGGGAUACAGCUCAGUUGGUAGAGUGCCUGCCUCACAUGCAGAAAGCCCUGGGUUCAAUCCCCAGGACCACCC
rnacentral:tRNA from 1 species